UGGGGAAUUUUGGACAAUGGGCGAAAGCCUGAUCCAGCAAUGCCGCGUGUGUGAAGAAGGCCUUCGGGUUGUAAAGCACUUUUGUCCGGAAAGAAAUCCUUGGCUCUAAUACAGUCGGGGGAUGACGGUACCGGAAGAAUAAGCACCGGCUAACUACGUGCCAGCAGCCGCGGUAAUACGUAGGGUGCAAGCGUUAAUCGGAAUUACUGGGCGUAAAGCGUGCGCAGGCGGUUUGCUAAGACCGAUGUGAAAUCCCCGGGCUCAACCUGGGAACUGCAUUGGUGACUGGCAGGCUAGAGUAUGGCAGAGGAGGGUAGAAUUCCACGUGUAGCAGUGAAAUGCGUAGAGAUGUGGAGGAAUACCGAUGGCGAAGGCAGCCCCCUGGGCCAAUACUGACGCUCAUGCACGAAAGCGUGGGGAGCAAACAGGAUUAGAUACCCUGGUAGUCCACGCCCUAAACGAUGUCAACUAGUUGUUGGGGAUUCAUUUCCUUAGUAACGUAGCUAAUGCGUGAAGUUGACCGCUGGGGAGUACGGUCGCAAGAUUAAAACUCAAAUGAAUUGACGGGGUCAUAGCUGUUUCCU
rnacentral:rRNA from 1 species